AUUGAACGCUGGCGGCAUGCCUUACACAUGCAAGUCGAACGGUAACGCGGGGCAACCUGGCGACGAGUGGCGAACGGGUGAGUAAUGCAUCGGAACGUGCCUGGUAGUGGGGGAAAACUGCGCGAAUGCGCAGCUAAUACCGCCUACGACCUGAGGGUGAAAGGGGGGGAGCGCACGACCUCUCGCUCUCAGAGCGGCCGAUGUCGGAUUAGCUAGUUGGUGGGGUAAAGGCUCCCCAAGGCAACGAUCCGUAGCUGGUCUGAGAGGACGACCAGCCACACUGGUACUGAGAUACGGCCCAGACUCCUACGGGAGGCAGCAGUGGGGAAUUUUGGACAAUGGACGCAAGUCUGAUCCAGCAAUGCCGCGUGCGGGAAGAAGGCCUUCGGGUUGUAAACCGCUUUUGUUAGGGAAGAAAUUCUCCGGGCUAAUACCCAGGGGGGAUGACGGUACCUAAAGAAUAAGCACCGGCUAACUACGUGCCAGCCGCCGCUGUAA
rnacentral:rRNA from 1 species